rnacentral:rRNA from 1 species
UCUAAACGUUGAAGCACAUCGUUCGUACCCCAAACCAACUCAGGUGGACAGGGAGAGAAUCCUAAGGCGAUUGAGUGAAGCUGGGCCAAGGAACUCGGCAAAUUGAUACCGUAACUUCGGGAUAAGGUAUGCCGGCAGUGUGUAAGGCUUCGCGCCCCAAGCAUGGUCCGGUCGCAGAGAAGAGGGAGAAGCGACUGUUUAACAAAAACACAGCACUGUGCAAAAUCGCAAGAUGACGUAUACGGUGUGACGCCUGCCCGGUGCUGGAAGGUUAAAAGGAGGGGUUAGCGCAAGCAAAGCUCCGAAUUGAAGCCCCAGUAAACGGCGGCCGUAACAAUAACGGUCCUAAGGUAGCGAAAUUCCUUGUCGGGUAAGUUCCGACCUGCACGAAUGGCGUAACGACUUCUCCGCUGUCUCGGCCCAGUGCUCAGCGAAUUUGAAAAACGGGUGCAGAUGCCCGUUACCCGCAGUAAGACGGAAAGACCCCGUGAACCUUUACUAUAACUUGGCAUUGGUAUUUGGGUUUGUCUGUGUAGGAUAGGUGGGAGGCUUUGAUCCUGCGGCGCCAGUCGUAGGGGAGCCGACGUUGAAAUACCACCCUGACAAUUCUGAAUAUCUAACCUCUUCCCGUAAGCCGGGAAAGGGACAAUGCCUGGUGGGUAGUUUGACUGGGGCGGUCGCCUCCAAAAAAGUAACGGAGGCGUACAAAGGUUACCUCAGACCGAAUGGAAACCGGUCGUAGAGUGCAAAGGCAUAAGGUAGCUUGACUGCGAGAGGGACACCUCAAGCAGGCACGAAAGUGGGUCUUAGUGAUCCGGUGGUUCCGCAUGGAAGGGCCAUCGCUCAACGGAUAAAAGGUACUCCGGGAUAACAGGCUGAUCUUCCCCAAGAGUUCACAUCGACGGGAAGGUUUGGCACCUCGAUGUCGGCUCAUCACAUCCUGGGGCUGAAGCAGGUCCCAAGGGUUUGGCUGUUCGCCAAUUAAAGUGGUACGCGAGCUGGGUUCAGAACGUCGUGAGACAGUUCGGUCCCUAUCUACUGUGGGCGCAGGAAAUUUGAGGGGGUCUGUCCUUAGUACGAGAGGACCGGGAUGGACGUACCUAUGGUGUACCUGUUGUCGCGCCAGCGGCAUAGCAGGGUAGCUAAGUACGGUCGGGAUAACUGCUGAAAGCAUCUAAGUAGGAAGCCCACCCCAAGAUGAGAUUUCCCUAGCCGCAAGGCUCUGAAGAUCCGUUAUAGACCAUGACGUUGAUAGGCUGGAGGUGGAAGCACUGCAAGGUGUGGAGCUGAUCAGUACUAAUAGAUCGUGAGGCU